UCCAUGAUGGUUCAAUGGCUAAGACUCUGCACUCCCAAUUCAGGGGCCCCAGAUUCGAUCCCUGGUCAGGGAA
rnacentral:tRNA from 1 species